UCUCGAUCCAUUCACACUCCACACACUCCAUCGCAGGAGCUUCUUCCUCUCUCCAUCCACGCUCUCUCCAUGGUAGGAGCUUCUUUCACCGCCGCCACUCUCUCCAUCACUCCGUCCACGAUCUCCAUCGUAGGAGCUUCCUUCGCUGGUCAUCUUCAUCCACCGGUUUAGGAAUAACUGCACUCAUCCAUCGGUUCAGUUCCUGUGCUGUUCAGGUAUGGCUUCAGGAAUCACUGUAUUCAUCCCUUUCUUUCGUUCUUUGCAACAAUCAAAACCAUUACACACUAAACAAACCAACAAACCCUAACAACAACAUUAUCAAUCUUACUCUCACAACCAUUUGCAACCAUCUAUUCAGUUUAGUUGAGGUUCUUUUGGGAGAAGGAUAUUAUGCAGAGAGAACUUCCAAAUAGACCGCUGAGAUAUUGAAAUGGAUAGGGAAGGGAUUAGAGUCACAACUUGAUUCUCUAGAAGCCAUGAUCAAGGACCUUCAAGCAGAGGCCAUAUUUUUCGGUCAAACAAUUGCUGAAGCUGCGGUGCGUUUCUAAUGAGGGUCUUGUGGAGAUAAGGGAAGACUAUAUAGAAGAUUCUCACAAAGGGGAAACUAAAUCAGAACUUGAAGGAAUUCUCAUGAGCCACCCUUCUAUUGAAGAUGCAGCUGUUGUCCCUAAGUAUACAUAUAUAAUUAUAUGUAUCUUUGAAAUUAAUUAAGCUAGCUAUUAGCUAAUAAUAAUUAUUGAGUAAUAAUAAGUAAUUAAAUGGUUUGUCGCACACAUGCAUAUAUAGCCGCUCUGAAGCUCUGAUUCCUUCUCCGUCUUGCUUCCCCAACCGUGGUUUCCUUGACUACCCUACCCCAAACAAUUGGGUAACCAUGAAACAUUGAAUGAUUGAAACCCGUGGUUUGCUGAGGAGAGACUCUAUCCGCCUUUGCUUUGAAGAUGUACCUUACUGCUCCGGGAGGCGAUGUUGUCCAGUAACGACUCAGACUCUCUUCUGCCGCCAAUCUUGCAACUCUAUUGGCAAGUUCAUUUCUCUCUCUUGGUGUCCAGGUCUUUGCUCGAAUGACUCCAUAUGUCUUGGGAAAGGCAUCUUGUAUGUGUCGAAAAUGGAGGUACACAAUUCGUAACCCUAUGUUUUGGCGCGUUGCAUGCAUGAAGGCUUGGCAGCUCUCUGGAGUGGUAGAAAACUAUAGGAUUCUUCAAUCAAAAUAUAAUGGCUCAUGGCGUAAAAUGUGGCUCUCACGACCAAGGUUGCAAACUAAUGCUAAGAACAACAAUCUCUUAUUGGGUAUUUAUGUGAGUAGAAAUACCUACAUUCGAGUCGGAGUUGCAGAGUGGAAAUUACUAAUCGAGUUCAUCUGGUUGCAACACAAGCAUUGCCUGCACCAGAAGUUAUCAGUGACAUUCUGAAUGGAAACUGGGACCAUGAGAGGACUGAGUUCUCUUUACCACCUUUGAUGACUCUGUUACUAGGAGAACCAGGAACUGGUAGUUCAUCUACGCCAUCAAUGGUUGGUGCUGUAAAAAAAUGGCAAAAGUCUGACCCUUAGCAAUCCCUGGACACAUGGAGAAGAUUGUCAGAGGCGAAUUCGCAGUUAGAAAUUCAACUGAACUUUUUGAGUAAAUUAGCAAAGGAACAAUGUAAUGCAUAUAAAUAUGUGAUUGAUUGCUGUAGCAAGCUCAGAUCAAAAAGUGGAUAGAGCAAGCUUCUGAACCCAACAAGGAAGCAGUUAUUAAAGCAUUGCU